AGAGUUUGAUCCUGGCUCAGGAUGAACGCUGGCGGCGUGCUUAACACAUGCAAGUCGAACGCACCUUCGGGUGAGUGGCGGACGGGUGAGUAACGCGUGAGAAUCUGCCCUCAGGAGGGGGAUAACGGCUGGAAACGGCCGCUAAUACCCCAUAUGCCGAGAGGUGAAACGAGUUUUCGCCUGAGGAUGAGCUCGCGUCUGAUUAGCUAGUUGGUGGGGUAAGAGCCUACCAAGGCAUCGAUCAGUAGCUGGUCUGAGAGGAUGAUCAGCCACACUGGGACUGAGACACGGCCCAGACUCCUACGGGAGGCAGCAGUGGGGAAUUUUCCGCAAUGGGCGAAAGCCUGACGGAGCAACGCCGCGUGAGGGAUGAAGGCCUCUGGGCUGUAAACCUCUUUUCUCAAGGAAGAAGAUCUGACGGUACUUGAGGAAUAAGCCACGGCUAAUUCCGUGCCAGCAGCCGCGGUAAUACGGGAGUGGCAAGCGUUAUCCGGAAUUAUUGGGCGUAAAGCGUCCGCAGGCGGUCUUGAAAGUCUGUUGUUAAAGCGUGGAGCUUAACUCCAUUUCAGCAAUGGAAACUAGAAGACUAGAGUGUGGUAGGGGCAGAGGGAAUUCCCGGUGUAGCGGUGAAAUGCGUAGAUAUCGGGAAGAACACCAGUGGCGAAGGCGCUCUGCUGGGCCAUAACUGACGCUCAUGGACGAAAGCCAGGGGAGCGAAAGGGAUUAGAUACCCCUGUAGUCCUGGCCGUAAACGAUGAACACUAGGUGUCGGGGGAAUCGACCCCCUCGGUGUCGUAGCCAACGCGUUAAGUGUUCCGCCUGGGGAGUACGCACGCAAGUGUGAAACUCAAAGGAAUUGACGGGGGCCCGCACAAGCGGUGGAGUAUGUGGUUUAAUUCGAUGCAACGCGAAGAACCUUACCAGGGUUUGACAUCCUGCGAACCCCUUGGAAACGAGGGGGUGCCUUCGGGAGCGCAGAGACAGGUGGUGCAUGGCUGUCGUCAGCUCGUGUCGUGAGAUGUUGGGUUAAGUCCCGCAACGAGCGCAACCCACGUCUUUAGUUGCCAGCAUUCAGUUGGGCACUCUAGAGAGACCGCCGGUGAUAAACCGGAGGAAGGUGUGGAUGACGUCAAGUCAUCAUGCCCCUUACAUCCUGGGCUACACACGUACUACAAUGCUACGGACAAAGGGCAGCAAACUCGCGAGAGCUAGCAAAUCCCAUAAACCGUGGCUCAGUUCAGAUCGUAGGCUGCAACUCGCCUACGUGAAGGAGGAAUCGCUAGUAAUCGCAGGUCAGCAUACUGCGGUGAAUACGUUCCCGGGCCUUGUACACACCGCCCGUCACACCAUGGAAGUUGGCCACGCCCGAAGUCGUUACUCCAACCCUUGUGGAGGAGGACGCCGAAGGUGGGGCUGAUGACUGGGGUGAAGUCGUAACAAGGUA
rnacentral:rRNA from 1 species